rnacentral:misc_RNA from 1 species
GCAUACUUCUGGCCGACACACGCAUGGGGCCCAGCACCAAAUGCUAGAAAGUUCUUUUUGUAAACCCGCUCCUCUUGUCUCUCCUCCAUGAACCGGUCCGGUUCAAAUUUCUCCGGUUCAGGAAAACCCUGAAAUGAUGAAUCAAAAACCGACGGGAACACAAUUGUUCCUUUUGGGAUAACGUAAUCUUCGGUUAACCGGAAUUCUUCGCCGGCAAUAUGUGGCACCAUUGUCGCCGGAGCUCUGAUUCUG